GGGGAAGCAACGUGAUGAGCAUUACUGGCUGGAGCUCCAAAGAGGCGCUAGGGUGUGUGCAUGUGUGUAUUUGUGUGUCUGUAUCCUUGUCUGUGCAUGCACACGUGUGUCUGGGAGUAUGAAUGAGUGUGGCUGGUUGUAGGGAACUAGUUAUGUGCCUUGUUUUGGACUAUGAUAGUCAAACUGAUAAGAUCUGAUUGCUUC
rnacentral:snoRNA from 1 species